CACCCUCAGAAGAAGUCAGAGCCCCAGAGGCCGGACAACUUACAGCUUAAUGGCUUUACUUUUAGAAAAACUAACAUCCUUCCAAUCAUAUAUUUCUUAGCCAUCAGAAAAGAAAUAAGAAAUCAAAGUUUAAAAUUUUAGACUGGUUUCAAUUUUUGGAUAUAAAAAGAAGUUUUCUGGAAAAUUCUGUCUUUCAGGUAACCAGAGAGAGAGGGUGGAAGGUUAAACUGCUGGAAGAGGACUGAGGCUAAAUAAAGGUGCUGCAUGAGUGAGGCCUUAUUGGGGU
rnacentral:lncRNA from 1 species